GCUCCCAUAGUUUAACGGAUAGAACAGAGGUUUCCUAAACCGCAAGUCCAAGUUCAAUUCUUGGUGGGGGCACAA
rnacentral:tRNA from 2 species